AAGUCAUGAGGAGGACAUGAACGGAUCAUCUCCUUAAACCGCUCCCAAGCUUCCGCAAGUCUCUUAUCACUCUCUUGCUCAAAUGAGGAGAUCUUCCUCCUUAUGUU
rfam:Beta vulgaris subsp. vulgaris Bvchr8.sca015.con0106.1, whole genome shotgun sequence.